rnacentral:rRNA from 1 species
GACAGAGGGGGCAAGCGUUGCUCGGAAUUACUGGGCGUAAAGGGCGCGUAGGCGGCGUGGUAAGUCACUUGUGAAAUCUCUGAGCUUAACUCAGAACGGCCAAGUGAUACUGCUGUGCUAGAGUGCAGAAGGGGCAAUCGGAAUUCUUGGUGUAGCGGUGAAAUGCGUAGAUAUCAAGAGGAACACCUGAGGUGAAGACGGGUUGCUGGGCUGACACUGACGCUGAGGCGCGAAAGCCAGGGGAGCAAACGGG